GACGAACGCUGGCGGCGUGCUUAACACAUGCAAGUCGAACGAUGAAGCCCAGCUUGCUGGGUGGAUUAGUGGCGAACGGGUGAGUAACACGUGAGUAACCUGCCCUUGACUCUGGGAUAAGCGCUGGAAACGGCGUCUAAUACCGGAUACGACCUGCCCCGGCAUCGGGUGCGGGUGGAAAGUUUUUCGGUCAAGGAUGGACUCGCGGCCUAUCAGCUAGUUGGUGAGGUAAUGGCUCACCAAGGCGACGACGGGUAGCCGGCCUGAGAGGGUGACCGGCCACACUGGGACUGAGACACGGCCCAGACUCCUACGGGAGGCAGCAGUGGGGAAUAUUGCACAAUGGGCGAAAGCCUGAUGCAGCAACGCCGCGUGGGGGAUGACGGCCUUCGGGUUGUAAACCUCUUUUAGUAGGGAAGAAGGGCUUCGGCUUGACGGUACCUGCAGAAAAAGCACCGGCUAACUACGUGCCAGCAGCCGCGGUAAUACGUAGGGUGCAAGCGUUGUCCGGAAUUAUUGGGCGUAAAGAGCUCGUAGGCGGUUUGUCGCGUCUGCUGUGAAAACCCGAGGCUCAACCUCGGGCCUGCAGUGGGUACGGGCAGACUAGAGUGCGGUAGGGGAGAAUGGAAUUCCUGGUGUAGCGGUGGAAUGCGCAGAUAUCAGGAGGAACACUGAUGGUGAAGGCAGUUCUCUGGGCCGUUACUGACGCUGAGGAGCGAAAGCGUGGGGAGCGAACAGGAUUAGAUACCCUGGUAGUCCACGCCGUAAACGUUGGGAACUAGAUGUGGGGACCUUUCCACGGUCUCCGUGUCGCAGCUAACGCAUUAAGUUCCCCGCCUGGGGAGUACGGCCGCAAGGCUAAAACUCAAAGGAAUUGACGGGGGCCCGCACAAGCGGCGGAGCAUGCGGAUUAAUUCGAUGCAACGCGAAGAACCUUACCAAGGCUUGACAUAUACCGGAAACUUCCAGAAAUGGUUGCCCCGCAAGGUCGGUAUACAGGUGGUGCAUGGUUGUCGUCAGCUCGUGUCGUGAGAUGUUGGGUUAAGUCCCGCAACGAGCGCAACCCUCGUUCUAUGUUGCCAGCACGUCAUGGUGGGAACUCAUAGGAGACUGCCGGGGUCAACUCGGAGGAAGGUGGGGAUGACGUCAAAUCAUCAUGCCCCUUAUGUCUUGGGCUUCACGCAUGCUACAAUGGCCGGUACAAAGGGCUGCGAUACCGUAAGGUGGAGCGAAUCCCAAAAAGCCGGUCUCAGUUCGGAUUGAGGUCUGCAACUCGACCUCAUGAAGUCGGAGUCGCUAGUAAUCGCAGAUCAGCAACGCUGCGGUGAAUACGUUCCCGGGCCU
rnacentral:rRNA from 1 species